UCCGCUAUGAAAGUUCAGACGGAGUCUGAUUCUUGCAGAAGGCUGAAAGGAGGCCGCUUAUUGUAGCAGCUCGGAUGAGGAUCGAUUAUCGUGGAAGCUCGGAGUAGUGUCCUGGCUGGUGGAGCCCGUUCUGUUGUAGAAGUUCAUCCAGAAUCCAUCCACUAUGGAGAAGCUCGGCUGAAAUCUACCUGUAAUAGAAGUUCGGAAGAAAUUCGUUUAUAGUAGAGGCUCGAAUAA
rnacentral:lncRNA from 1 species